AAAAAUGGGAAAAUCAAAGUGGGAGUUAAAAAUAACUAUAAAUACGGUUGUCUGUGAAGUCAUUUACUAGUAAGUAAAUUGUUCAUUUUUUCGCAAUUUUUCGCUGUUAGACAACGUUCAUUUUUUGCAAACAAAAAUUAUUAAUCGUCUUUGGAUCAGAUCAAUUUCGAUUGAAAAAAUGUCAAAGGUGCUGUUUGAAUUUAUUGCCCUUCUUGUUGUUAUUGCAAUGAUGCAAGUCACUGUCGAAGCUUGCUCAGGCGGUGGGGGUUCAUCAUCGGACGACAGAUCUUGCAUAGCCAGUACAAAACCGUGUGAAAAUAGUGGCGAUUGCUGUAAAGGAAGCUGCAUUAUGCAUCGUUGGACAGGUGGCUCUAAAGAUAAUACCUUUGAAAAGUUAUGUGAAUGAUAAUAACUUUUCGAGGUAUAUAAUCGCAUGGAAAAGUUAUUUUUUUGUAUCCAAAUAUGUAUACGAUAAGAAUAAAAAAAUAUGUGAAAAACUGA